AGCCAGCUGGGCUGCUUUUGUCUGGGAAGGCGGACAGCAGUGUCAUUGGUAGCAGACACAGCCUGUUUGUUGCUGCGUGGGUUGCCCUGAGGGACCUUGGGAACAGCA
ensembl:snoRNA SNORA70 Small nucleolar RNA SNORA70